GAACUUUCGGGGUCAGUGCCCUUCUAAACUCCCCUUCCCCCAAUAAUGCAGCUGUGUAAUGAAUGGUAAAUGCACCGGUUUGGAUUCAGGCACAGCCCCAGUCUGCCUGCAGGUGGCGUAUGUGUUCGUGUUUUAAUGUAUUCAGAGCCAUUGGGCAAUAAGCAGUCCAGAACAUUGAAAACUCAAGCAGCAGAGAACUAA
ensembl:lncRNA